AUUUUGGUCCAAGAUGGUUUUGGUCCAAGAUGAUUUUGGUCCAAGAUGAUUUUGGUCCAAGAUGAACUGUAACUAUUUAGUUGAGGAAGUAAUGUAAUGAACAUUGUUGUGUUCCUUUCUUCUCUCUUUUGUUUCCUAGUCAUUGGCUCUACCAUACCCAUCAUCACCCCUGGCAAAGAAGGGUAGUAUGAAACCAUCCUGGUGGCCUUUUGACGUGUCUCCUAGCGCUGUUGCCUUUGCUGUGGCAUGGCCGUUUGUGGUGCAGUGGCUCAUCCGCCUAUAUCUUCAACGUAAGAGAAGACGAAUCAACUGAAAAGUCUCCCGUCCCAAAGACACAGAGCGACGAUGAGAGCUCUCUCAACAGUCUCUGGGUUGGGUAACGGCCGUAGCCUCCCUUCCGCUUUCCCACCCGCACCUCUGUAACUCUAGCUUUUGCACUAUGAAGAUGGCAUUACUAUAGUGAGUUUGGGGGACGCAUCACAACCCACUGGCACUACAAUUGAAAUCAAAAGAGAAAUGUGAAUGAAUUGAACUGCAGCUUUUAUAAUCAUGCAAGAUUAUACAACUACUGUACUACAUUAGUACUUUUUGUUUUGCUCUGAAGAAAUGAUGAUGAUUUAACUUGGGCGGUAAAGUUAUUGGUUGUGUAUGUUGAGUAUAGCUUCUUUUAUUGCAACUAUUCCGUACAUCUUACGGCACGUAUCGGCAACUUUGAUGGGGGUGUGGUCCAGGAGGGAAAAAAAACGAAACUCCCCUUUUUAGCGGUCCGUCUCCUGACAGCGAAGAGAAAAAAAAUUGACGUUUUAAACUUAAUUUCCUGCAAUUCUGCAUAUUUUGCCACGGGGCGUAAAGAAACUGUUGCCGUUUUAAAUAUGACUGAUGAUCAGUGGGCCCCACCCCAGUUAGUAAUUUGACUAUGUUUACUACAAGUUUAGAUAGCUGGCCACUAGACUAACUUACCAAUGUAAAAACAUUUAUCUGACCUGGGCUUAUUGAGUGACUGCUGAUGCACAACAAAAACCGAAUGUCGAAAUCGCAGCUUAUGUAUUCUACUAUUCUAACUCUCAACAGUACAUUUUCUUUUUUGUUGGUCAAAUUGGUCCGCGGGCCUACAAAAGGGGGGGAGGCCCACGGGUCUCCCCGCCAGUUGUCCAUCCCUUGUCUUACAGCAUUAUAAGAACUAUCCAACUUGUCCUGCAAAUGGACAUAACUGCAACAGAAACCUUACGCCAUAUAUCAUAAUAGUUGCUCAGGCUGCUAAUAUAUGAUGAUAACGCUAGGUAGAUAAGUGUGUAUAUAUAUAAUAAUGUAUUUGUGGAAAGGUACACUUAAAUCUUGAAAAUGUGUUAAUAUAUUAUUUCUAAUAUUAAAUGAAAAUUAAGACUUUA